rnacentral:misc_RNA from 1 species
GUGAAUCAUCGAAUCUUUGAACGCAAAUUGCACUCUCUUCGGAGAGUAUGCCUGUUUGAGGGUCAGUAUUAAUAAAAAUCGGCGUGUUGCUCUUUUGUGACGUUCCGGAGUUUGGGUCAUCUUAUAACAACACCCUUUCAGGGUACUUUUAGGAGCCUAAAAUUUGACUUUUUUGUUCCAUUUUAGACGUACAUAAUUUUUUUUUAUUGUUUUAUCUUAUUGCAAAACCUC